rnacentral:rRNA from 1 species
GUGGGGAAUAUUGGACAAUGGGGGGAACCCUGAUCCAGCCAUGCCGCGUGUGUGAAGAAGGCCUUUUGGUUGUAAAGCACUUUAAGCGAGGAGGAGGCUACCGAGAUUAAUACUCUUGGAUAGUGGACGUUACUCGCAGAAUAAGCACCGGCUAACUCUGUGCCAGCAGCCGCGGUGAUACAGAGGGUGCAAGCGUUAAUCGGAUUUACUGGGCGUAAAGCGCGCGUAGGUGGCCAAUUAAGUCAAAUGUGAAAUCCCCGAGCUUAACUUGGGAAUUGCAUUCGAUACUGGUUGGCUAGAGUAUGGGAGAGGAUGGUAGAAUUCCAGGUGUAGCGGUGAAAUGCGUAGAGAUCUGGAGGAAUACCGAUGGCGAAGGCAGCCAUCUGGCCUAAUACUGACACUGAGGUGCGAAAGCAUGGGGAGCAAACAGGAUUAGAAACCCCAGUAGUCC